rfam:Magnetococcus sp. MC-1, complete genome.
CUCAUCGUGAGGUGGGAUCUGAAGGAAGCCGAAGGUAAAGCGCUAAUCCGACGGACUGGAAUCUCAUAUUUUAUGGUGUGCCCGGCAGGGCACAGGUACUUGGA